UGUAAGCGUAUACCAAAGUUGUUGCAGUUAAAACGCUCGUAGUCGGAAUUUGGCAGUUCCGGAUGUGUGCACGUCGUGUGCGCACUUCGCGGGGAUUGCUUUUGUGGUCUUGCGUAGGAUGAGGCACUUUUAUUAGUGAACGUCCUCACGCAACCACUUUUUACUGUGAGAAAAUCAGAGUGCUCAAAGCAGGCAUUUGCCGUGAAUGUAUUAGCAUGGAAUAAUAGAAUAGGACUCUGUCUUAUUUUGUUGGUUUGUUAGGACCGAGUAAUGAUUAAGAGGGACAGUUGGGGGUAUUUGUAUUUCGGCGCUAGAGGUGAAAUUCUUAGAUUGCCGAAAGACAAACUGCUGCGAAAGCGUCUGCCAAGGAUGUUUUCAUUGA
rnacentral:rRNA from 1 species